rnacentral:pre_miRNA from 1 species
UAACUACUCCCUCCGUUCGGAAUUACUUGUCUCGGAUAUGGAUGUAUCUAGAAUUAAAAUACGUAUAGAUACAUCCAUUUCUGCGACAAGUAAUUCCGAACAGAGGGAGUAGUAU